AGCUUUCUGGAUCUGUGCAGAGAUUUCGUCAGACAACUCAUUAGGACUGAUCACACUUCCAAGAUAAGUGAAGUC
rnacentral:pre_miRNA from 1 species